GGGCGAUUAGCUCAGCGGGAGAGCGCUUCGUUCACACCGAAGAGGUCGGCAGUUCGAUCCUGCCACCGCCCA
rnacentral:tRNA from 1 species